AAGUGGGAGGAAGUGUCACAGCUCUUUUAUUUCUGCCACCCACAGCUUGGUGAGUAGGAGCAUUACAGCUCUUUUGCUCCCACAGUUCAGCAAAUUCUGAGUUCCUGUCCCAUGACCAAGAGGAAUGAGGAACAUGGACACCGGAGAAUGAGUAAGGCAGAGUAGAAUUUUAUUCAUCAGCGAGAGGGGACCUGAAAGCAGGUCGCCAUCUGUGAGGAUUAAAGUUAGGACCAAAUGCUGCUCAGAAAUUGUUUUAAUCUCAAAAGUAGUUGGCAAGUUUUCAGAGUUCAUUUUCAAGGCCUGGUGUAUGCAUUGGUUACAUGAAAACCGUGUGACAACCUUGGAAGUCUGAAAGAGCAGGAGAGAGGCUAAGCACACACAUAUUGUGAUUUUAAGAGUCUCAAGGUGAGAAGAAACAUCAGAAGCAGUUGAGAGACCAGGACGUGGGUCCUCAAAGGAUGAACAGAAGUUCUUUUGGAUAACAUUUUAAAAUGUUUCCUCCAGAGUUAUCUGCCUCAUUAACAAUGGUUUGAGUCUCAAGAGUCUCUCUUCGAUUUUACAAACAUGAUUUGUUGCUCUGCUAUAAAUGCAUGCUGCUCUAGUCCUUCAAUAAACCCACAACAUGUUUUCACCAUUUUGCCUGUAGACACUUUUUCUGCAGUGUUAACAACGUCACCAUUAUCAUCACUAUUAUCACAAUCACCUUGAUUCAAAGCCAUUUCACCAUCAGUCAAUGAAUGAAUAACUGGAACCUCAUGCCUCAUGAUCCGUGUUAGAAACUUGAAUACACACUUCUUUCAGCUUACUAAUAGACUCUAAAGCAGGGGUGUCCAAUCUUUUGGCUUCCCUGGACCACAUUGGAAGACCAAUUGUCUUGGGCCACGCAUAAUAUACACUAACAAUAAUGAUAGCUGAUGAGCUAAAAAAAAUUGCAGAAAAACUCAUAAUGUUUUAAGAAAGUUUAUAAAUUUGUGUUGGGCUGCAUUCAAAGCCAUCCUGGGCCUGUGGGCUGCAGAUUGCACAAGCAUGCUCUACAGGUGUAUUUUUUAUACAUAUAAGGAGGUCAGACAUCAUUUUUUUUUCUCACUUACCAUACAAAAUCCUUCAAAGUCAUGACCUUGUUUAUCGUUAUCACUGAACAUAGUCACAAGCCAGAGAUUGUGCCAGGCAUGCACAACUGUCUUUAUUCACUCUGUUCCAAGUAUUGGCAACAGCAUAGAUGGCAUCUUUCUUGCUAAACUCCUUUUGAAAACCUUCCACACGCUCACCCUGUUCACUGAUGCUAGCCUGCUGUUCAAGAAAGUGUUUUUAUAUUUGCUCUUCAUUGAUCUAAGGACACCCUAGUCACAUGGAUGAAUUAUGAAGUCACAUUUGGGAGAAAGUACGUGGCAUAACCAUUAUUUUUUAUGAGAAUUUCAGUUGUAGGAUGAGCAGAACAGCUGCUAAGGAAUAACAAACUCUUUCAGUUAUCAUCCAGUCCAGCUUUUCUGCAUAAGCAUGAGCCACUGGUAAAAAUGUUCAUGAAACCAUUUAGAAAGAUGUCCCUGGUGAGUCAUGCCUUUUUGCUAGCAUAACAAUGGACUGGUAAAAUAUUUACUCCUUGAAAACAAUGAGAAUUAAAACUUUUUCCUAUUACAGCAAAUUUACAGUAAUACUAAUACAUGGGUGAGCCAUUAACAUAUUCUAGCACAGUUAUUUGGCUGCUGCCAUUUUUAAUUACUUUACGGGCUCUUUUAUCAACUAUAGUCCGUGUCUUUCUGGAACAAUAAUCCCAAGACAGCAAUAUUUUAUCAGCCAAAUAGCCUUGUUCUGGCAUCAGAUUUUCAUCAGCGCAACCUUGGCAAACUUGUCAGAAUUUAUCAGUGGCUUUGUGAUCAACAGAUGUUUUAUUGUCACAAAUCUUUAAAAAUAUAAUGCUGCGUCUUUUCUUAAAUAUCUGCAACCAGCCUGUUGAAUGUUCAUACUUCCCUUCAAUUUUCAGUUGAUUGUGAUAGAUCCUUGCUCUUUUCAUGAUCAGCAUACCAUCAUGUCAUAUGUUCACCGUUUUGCUGAUGGAUCCACUCUUUUAAUACAUGAUUGAGAUGUUCAUUUUUAUUUUUCUGCAGUGCUUUUCUAUUUUUCAUUAACUUCUGUUCAUCACUUUUAACAUAGAACAUCAAUAGUUUAUCCUUUGGUUUCUUUGGGUCAUAUAUGGUGGACAU
rnacentral:lncRNA from 1 species